rnacentral:misc_RNA from 1 species
GAAAUGCGAUACGUAAUGUGAAUUGCAGAAUUCCGUGAAUCAUCGAAUCUUUGAACGCACCUUGCGCCUCUUGGUAUUCCGAGGGGCAUGCCUGUUUGAGUGUCAUUGAAUCCUCAAAAGGGAAGCUUCACCGUUUCUCUUUUGGAAUUGGGGUGUGCUGGCCUUUGAUGAAGCCCAGCUCCUCUGAAAUACAUUAGCGAUGUGACAUCCGCAUGCACCACGCUUCUCUGGCAUUGAUAGUAUCUUCAUGCUUGGGGCGGUAUCUGCAGCCGUGGAAAGCUUUGCUCGCUUACAACCGAUGGUGUGGAGAGGUGCCUUUGUCCCUCUCCACCGAUCCUCUGACCAAUAUAACCUCAAAUCAGGUAGGAUUACCCGCUGAACUUAA